GUUGCUAAUUUUUGCAAUUGUAUUGAUCAUUGAUACCACACACAAAAUUAAUGGAUACGUGUUACCAUUGGUUGCAAAUACUCUCUUCGUCCCUAUAUCUAAGCACUCUUUUAUUAAAGACAAAUGGUGCCUACAUAUAAGAACGGAGGGAGUAUUGUCUUACAUUGGAAAAUAUAAAAUACAGUUAUUUUUGAAUGAAGUAUUGUCUUGAGUAGAUCUACCUGUCCUGUCAAAUAAAUCAAAAGGUCAGAAACAUAUAGUUCAAAGUGUGAGCAAAAUCAGAAGAGUAAUGAAAGUUGCUGCAAAUAAAAUUAUAGGUUCAAAAGACCUGGCUAAAUACAAAGUUUGGUCCUUUUAGUUUCAUAGAAUUUUUAAGUCAGUCAUUUAAUUUCAAAAGUUUUAAAUAGAUCCUAUAAUUUGAUAGAAUUUUCAAAUUAGUCCUUUAAGUUUUAAAAGUUUUAAAUAUGUCUUUUAGUUGAUAAAUUAUUUCACCGUUACCCCUGCCGUUAGUUAAUAAUUAAUUGAUACUGAUGUAGCUGUUACGUUCUUGACUUGGAUCAAAACGUUAGCACUAUAAAUGCAGUUUAAUAUUGCUAGAAGUUGUCUUUCUAGCACUAUAAAUGAACAUUUGUGACCAUUAAACAUAGCGUUUUGACACCCUGGAGCUUUUAAAAAGUAGUGUUUGGAUCCAAGUCAACAACUUAACGGCUACAUCAACAUCAGUUAAACGGAGACUGACAGCAGGGGUAACGGUGAUAAUUUAUCAACUAAAAGAACCUAUUUGAAACUUUUGAAACUUAAAAGACUAACUUUAGAAUUCUCUCAAACUAAAAGGACCUAAUUGAAACUUUUGAAAUUUAAAAAACUAAUUUGAAAAUUCUAUCAAACUAAAAGGACGAAAAGUGAUAUUUAACCUAUUAUAUAUUUCGACUUAACUGUUAAACGCAUACACAUUCAUCUUGCACGCACAAAGGCAAGGUAGGUGACAUACACGGAGUAUGUACACAAUUGACGGUAGAUGUACAAUUAGCAG
rnacentral:lncRNA from 1 species